rnacentral:rRNA from 1 species
GACGAAGGUGGCGAGCGUUACUCGGAAUUACUAGGCGUAAAGCGUGAGCAGGCGGUUCGGUAAGUCCGUUGUGAAAGCCCCGGGCUCAACCCGGGGAUGCCAAUGGAUACUGCCGGACUUGAAUACGGGAGAGGUUACUGGAAUUCCUGGUGUAGCGGUGAAAUGCGUAGAUAUCAGGAGGAACACCGAAGGCGAAAGCAGGUAACUGGACCGUUAUUGACGCUGAGUCACGAAAGCCGGGGGAGCAAACAGG